rnacentral:rRNA from 1 species
GACGUAGGGCGCGAGCGUUGUCCGGAUUUAUUGGGCGUAAAGAGCUCGUAGGCGGCUUGUCGCGUCGAAUGUGAAAUCUCAGGGCUCAACUCUGACAUUGCAUUCGAUACGGGCAGGCUAGAGUUCGGUAGGGGAGACUGGAGUUCCUGGUGUAGCGGUGAAAUGCGCAGAUAUCAGGAGGAACACCGGUGGCGAAGGCGGGUCUCUGGGCCGAUACUGACGCUGAGACACGAAAGCGUGGGGAGCAAACAGG